rnacentral:rRNA from 1 species
AUUGAACGCUGGCGGCAGGCUUAACACAUGCAAGUCGAGCGGUAGCACAGGGGAGCUUGCUCCCUGGGUGACGAGCGGCGGACGGGUGAGUAAUGUCUGGAAAACUGCCUGAUGGAGGGGGAUAACUACUGGAAACGGUAGCUAAUACCGCAUAACGUCGCAAGACCAAAGAGGGGGACCUUCGGGCCUCUUGCCAUCAGAUGUGCCCAGAUGGGAUUAGCUAGUAGGUGGGGUAAUGGCUCACCUAGGCGACGAUCCCUAGCUGGUCUGAGAGGAUGACCAGCCACACUGGAACUGAGACACGGUCCAGACUCCUACGGGAGGCAGCAGUGGGGAAUAUUGCACAAUGGGCGAAAGCCUGAUGCAGCCAUGCCGCGUGUGUGAAGAAGGCCUUCGGGUUGUAAAGCACUUUCAGCGAGGAGGAAGGUGGUGAGCUUAAUACGCUCAUCAAUUGACGUUACUCGCAGAAGAAGCACCGGCUAACUCCGUG